UCGGUGGCGUCUCAGGCCUAACACCGUCAAAACAAAACAACCGAUCUCAAUAAUAACGACAAGAGAGCGCCGAUACUUAGUCUACAGCUAGCGAUGAGGUGAAGCGAUGACUGAUUGUGCUAUUUAUUUUUUGCUGUCACAGCAGAGAGCAAGUUGCAAGAGCGAAUUCAGAUCGAAGCGGGCAGAUUGAUUGCUGCCAUGUUGUUGUGCAAUCGCUGUCCCCAGCGGAUGUCGUCGCGCUGACUUCCGGGCGACAAGCGAUAUUUUCUGGCUGGCCAGAAACCGGCGACACGACCAGCGACAGCGACGGAUAGCCCUCCGCGACGGCAAAACCUGUCGCUCGUCGCCGUCGCUUGUCGCUGUCGCUCGAAAAUCGCGUGCAUGCGGUUGGGCCUUUACAGCUGAUUGCUAUAAAGGAAAGCAUUGGAAAGAGGGGGAAGCCUGCACAUUAUAUGACAUAAAGCUGUCCUGUAAUCGAGAGCAUAUGUAAGCAUGAAAUGGCUAUCAUAUGGUGCAUUUUUCUGCCUGUAGUGUUGCCGCUUUAACCGCAUUUCUUCUUCUGAAAGUGCAGCACGCUCAGCAUCUGCCGCUACUCAUGGACGGCUGGCGUUGAAAAGAGCACAGGCAACCCCGUCUCAGUGCCAAAGAUGACAAUAAAAUGUAUGGUGCCCUGUAUGUGCGUUUUGAACGUCGCUAUUGGAAUUGACACAUAAAAGUUCAGCAUACAAGAAGUUACAGCUUAAAUGAUAUUGUGAACAAACAUUAGGAAGGAAUUGGAAGCAAUAUCUUUUUUCUAAUUUGUUUCAGCCGUAACUAUCGUAUGUAAUGCGGUCCUGUACAAGGGGCUGGGGGCCAAAGACAGCAAUUUUUAAGUUUUGGCUGGUUCUCGCAACAUUUGUUCGCACAAAACAUAGAUAAGCAGGGUGUAAUUAAAAUCGUGAGAAUACAAGUGGUAUACAGUUAAACCAAAUGCACUGAACAGAAUAUCUGCUGCACGUACUUACAUUAUUUAAUUUAUUAUAUAAUUGGAUUUCCAUUCCUCAGUUUCCCGACUUCUCGGUGGUGUGCACAGGCUAACUGUGAGCUUUUGCCACACAAUUCUUGAUUUUUCCCCAUGAAUAACAGACGGCUAUGUCACAUUUUAGGACGGGUACCGAAGAGGAGUACGGAGAAAAAGGCAGACUCCUUCAGGAGAUAUUGACCCUAACGUGGGAAUACAGCUACCAAAUCAUAAGACGCAAGACACGGAUCAAAGACAUGCGCAGCAGCCUCGGUGGCACCACCAGUGCUGUUAAGCAUAGGCUCAGCUAUGCAAUGGCACGUAGCACAGCUACCGUGCUUUAGUAAUUCAAUACAAAAAUCAUUGUUAUGUAGCCGGCAAUCAAGUAACACCUCAGGUUGCAACAGCAGUAGGUGGUGGUCAUGUAUGCGAUGAACUUAGUAAGUACAACCUUUAGCUAAAAUACCAAUAGAAUUUUAUAUUGGUGCAAAAAGGAGUCCUAUAUUUUGUAUAUCAACACACGAUAGGUUUUAUGUGAAUUCUAUUGCUACUGACAAGGUCCAAUAGGUCCCAGCUUUUUGUCACCUAUAGGACUAUAAUAUAAUAAUAAAUUGGUACCAUGACAGGCGUCAAGGAUUUGUGACUUAUUGGACUAAUACUUUCAUACUUGCAGGUGUGUCUGGGAAUGCGGCUCAGGAUGCCAGUUUUGACUUUUGGUCCAAGUGUGAGGCCAGCUAAUCUUCAGGGAUCCCCUGCAAUUCAUCCAGGACGAGAUAUCCAGUAUAGUCAAGUCAGACCGUACUCCCAUCAUGACCAUGUUGCGAAUGCUGGAACUUCAUUUAGCUUGCUGCAAGAUGCUUCAUCAAAUAGCAGCAACUACACCGUGUGAUGUAGUACACCAAGUUUUUCAAACCAAGCAUAUCCACUUGGUAGGUCGCCAUACUACACAUGUGUUUAUGUACCGCAACUGACAUAUCAUUUUAAUGCAGCUGCAGCUACACCACAUGCACCAAUACCUAUGAGAAGAACUCUACAGUACCAGUGCAGUGAAGAAAUGCCAACUGGUAAGAAGCAAGGGGGCUCGUUAAUCGUACCUGCUGAUGAAUAAAUUUCUGCAGCUUUACGUAUCUCUUCAUUGUACACCCACUCUGGCGAUUUGCGUCAACUUGGUCAUUUAUCUCUCUUUUAUGCAGUUCUGGGUGUACCUCUCACAGGCUGCACAAGACAUGAUCCUUGGCCGAGACACUCUGCGCCGAGCGGUAGGUUACAAGAACUUAACACAUUUAUGCUCUACAAUAAUAUUUCUCCACAAAAUGCAGAUACUGGAAGUCCUCGCAUGCCUCAGCUGCCUAGCCCUACUCUCCGUCAGCUGUAUCGAGUAUCAAGGGGUGAGUGAUGGGCUUAUGUGUGUUUGCAAUUCAUAGUUUAUUCACCAUGGGAACCACCGACCCUUGAGUCUGUAUAGUAUGGCAUAUUCUUGGUUUUUACUUAAGUGUAUUGUCUUCGAAAGUCAUGUAUUUGUAGGAACCUGCUUCUAAGUACUAUGCAGAAGCCAAACUAUUCAGAGGCCAAAGUAGCUAGUCCAAUAUUCAACACCCAAACAUUAGGUAUACAUGUUCAAUUUCUGAAACUUACAUAGUACAUGCUUUUAUUUCAGAUGUUAGAGCAGGGCCACUGCAAGAGCAGUUAAGCGACCUGGCUGCACAGUUUUCUGGUAAUCAUGGGAUUAUGCAGUUCAACAAAAAAUAUUUUCAAAUGCCGAUACAUAAAAAAUUCAUUGAUUAAAUGUACAUUUUAUGUAUGAUCAACCCACUUUACUUACAGCGUUCCACAACAAAGUUUGACAAUCUAGCUAGGAUAUUGAACGAACUUGCCCCGCUACGAAGGAUAUUGGCCAUAAAGCCAAAGACGGUGCUAGCGCUUCCACAAGAUUGCCCUAGACUGCCAGUUGAAGACACUGAACAACUGCUUCUACUGGAGGAAUACUUAAAGUCUCCAGAAAAUUCUCAGAAGCUUGUGAGUUAUACAUGUCCUACUUUGCAUGACUUUUGUAAAUUUUACUGUACAGAGCACACAGCAGUUGUGACCCAUGUUUCAACCCCAAUAAGGAGCCUAGGAAGGAAAUCACCUACUCAUUCAAAGUGGCCUACUAGUUCUUCACAGACAUCUACAAGUUUGCUUAAGCUAUUCUAUAAACUAUAAUGGUACCCAUCUUGCAGACACUUUUUAAAACUGGAGCCUGUUAUAAACAAUGUGAUUGGCUGAUCUAUUACUUAAAUCCAGAGUUGUGGCUUAUCCACAGUCACCCGGCAAUUUGUCUUUAGUACCACUUUGACAGCUGUAAUAGUCACUGGUGUUAAAAACUUGAGGUCCUUGACCUAAGUGAGGAGUCUUUCACAUGUCCCAGCAUUGUGAAUUCUCUACUGCAUUUGUACACCUGCUGCUGCUGUAACAAGCAUGCAUUACACAUACUUAGCCUACAUUCUCCAAUGAAUUUCAGUAUGCUUUACUCCUUAAAGCCCGGGAUACAUGGAGCGAACUUUCUCGACGAACUUCACGCGUCAAGUAACGACGCGGCGACACGA